AGCCGCUGCCACAUUGCACAGCA
rnacentral:miRNA from 14 species